rnacentral:SRP_RNA from 1 species
GCUGGUCGCGGUGGUGAGUGCCUGUAGUCCCAGCUACUAGGGAGGCUGAGGUGGGAGGAUCGCUUGAGCCCAGGAGUUCUGGGCUGUAGUGCGCUAUGCCGAUAGGGUGUCUGCACUAAGUUCGGCAUCAAUAUGAUGACCUUCCAGGAGCUGGGGACCACCAGGUUGGUCUAAGGAGGGGUGAACCAGCCCAAGUUGGAAACCGAGCAGGUCAAAAUUCCUGUGCUGAUCAGUAGUGGGAUCGUGCCUGUGAAUAGCCACUGCACUCCAGCCUGGGCAAUAUAGCAAGACCCCAUCUCU